rnacentral:tRNA from 1 species
UUUAGAAAAGUUUUAUAAACAUUAGAAUUUGAAUCUAACAUUCGUAAUUUGAUUUACGUUCUAAAA